UCUUUGCAACGGUGGCGCUACAGAAGCAAUCGCUCGGAUGUUGCUGUCUGUAACAUAGAAACGUCGAAGUGUGUCUCACAACUCAGUGCAAGGUGACUCAUCGGCUCUGUCCAUAAGGUCCACCUGUGACCUUCUGCCUACAGUGCAGCGCUGUGCCCUUGAGUCGUUACAAUAUCCACUGACUUAAUUAUGCAGGCACCAGGAGAGAACUUCAGUGAGGAAGGAAGGGCAGCUACAAGAAUAAUCAGAAGGAAGAGAAAUAAGAAAUUGUGGAUGACAAAGCACUUGGAGAUAUCUUAGAACUAUUCUGAGCUGUUAAAUAGAGAAGCCCAAGUAAAUUCUGUUUUGCACCAGCUAUGACAGUGGAGGAACCGACGCUAAUUUGUUUUAAUUUUAAUUU